AUUCCAAGGUCGGAGAAUCUUUACAAGAAGAGUUUACCGUGUCCAUCCAGACUGGAGAGGUGGUGGCAGAGAUGAGCAGAAGUCUGCACUUCCACUCGCUGGUGAAGGGUCUCACCGGCCUGGCUGCCUCCAAGGCACAGCUGGAUACCACUUCCCAGAGCUGGUCAGAAUCGUCCGCAGAGCAUGGAGGCCGUGGUGAUGGACGGCACCAAGGCUCAGGCCAUCCUGGAAGCAUCCUGUUCCUCCAUGGGUAUGGACAUCUCACCCAUUGAGAGAUUCUCCACUCGCGUGGUGGCUCUGGCUGAAUAUCCACUCGGGCUGCAGGAGUACCUGCGCUGCAAGAUGGCCCAAGUGGCCCCAGAUUUAAUCUGAGAAGUGGUUGGAGCUCGCUUUUUCCACUAGGCCGGGCCGGAACUAGGCCUAGUGGAAGCGCAACCAAAAACGGGCACGACACGGCACGCUUAAAGCGAGCUCCGCGCUGUAGUGGAACUGCGCCAUAACAAGGCCCUGUUCAGGUACUGGGGCACCCCCCCCUCCCUGCUGGGGAAUAAAGUGGCUACAGUGAUGGCAGGGCGGGGCAGGAACCGAGCAGGGUGACUGGAGAGGGCUAAGGUCUCCUCCAGAGUGAUCCCUCUCCCCCAAUGCACCCCCACAGUCUGAGGUGUUUGAUAACGCUGAUGCAGAGAGAAAUAAGAUGACUAAAUCACCUGCAGGUGACCAUGAUGGCUGAGCACUAGGCACUGAUCCUGAUGCUGCCGUGACUUCAUGAGGAUGUCUCACUUCAAGGCAUCAAUCUGCCCAUGAGAUCUAAUCCGAUGUCCUUGGGAUGCAGAGGCUCCAUGUAACAUGAGGUGCAGUGCGUUGAAGGCAGCAGCAAGAUGGUGAAGGAGGACAGGAGGAUGUAAAGCUCUGAGUCGUAGCGACUGGACAAAGUGCUAUACGAGUACCGUCAGAGUUCUCUGUAAAGGAUUUCUUACAAACUGUACAGCUGAACGGUUUCUCUCCGAAACAAUUGUUGAAAUAAACAUCUUACACA